rnacentral:rRNA from 1 species
AGAGUUUGAUCCUGGCUCAGGAUGAACGCUGGCGGUAUGCUUAACACAUGCAAGUCGAACGGGAUCUUCGGAUUUAGUGGCGGACGGGUGAGUAACGCGUGAGAAUCUGCCUUUAGGACGGGGACAACAGUUGGAAACGGCUGCUAAAACCCGAUGUGCCCUUAGGGGUGAAAUAUUUAUAGCCUGAAGAUGAGCUCGCGUCUGAUUAGCUAGUAGGUUGGGUAAUGGCUGACCUAGGCGACGAUCAGUAACUGGUCUGAGAGGAUGACCAGUCACACUGGGACUGAGACACGGCCCAGACUCCUACGGGAGGCAGCAGUGGGGAAUUUUCCGCAAUGGGCGCAAGCCUGACGGAGCAAUACCGCGUGAGGGAGGAAGGCUCUUGGGUCGUAAACCUCUUUUAUCAGGGAAGAACACAAUAACGGUACCUGAUGAAUCAGCAUCGGCUAACUCCGUGCCAGCAGCCGCGGUAAUACGGAGGAUGCAAGCGUUAUCCGGAAUUAUUGGGCGUAAAGCGCCACCCCUUUUGAAAGUUUGCUGUCAAAGCGCGAGGCUCAACUUCGUAACGGCGGUGAAAACUUCAAGACUAGAGCUAGGUAGGGGUCACGGGAAUUCCCAGUGUAGCGGUGAAAUGCGUAGAUAUUGGGAAGAACACCAGCGGCGAAAGCGCGUGACUGGGCCUGAGCUGACACCGAAAGCUAGGGGAGCGAAAGGGAUUAGAUACCCCUGUAGUCCUAGCCGUAAACGAUGACAACUAGGUGUUGCCCGU